ensembl:lncRNA
GGGCUUGGCGGUGGCCCUCGUCCUUCGUUACUCAGGAGAAAAAAAGAGGGAGCGAGAGAGAGAAAAUCAAGUCGCAGCCGGCUUGGCCCGGUGUUGGGGGCGGUCGCGCGGAACGGUGAGGCUGUGAGAACUUCCCCAGCUGCUGACUGAAGUGGGAAGUGAGGUGUGAACUGAGACCCCGGGAGAGAGGCCCUCCGGGUAGGACCUGGCCUCGGACUGGCGGCGUAAAGGGUGGCGUUGCCACCGACUGAGAGUGGUUGAGCUGGCCUCUGGCCGAGUGUGGGGAGAGAGGCUUCACUUCUUUGUACACAUGUGCAGAGGCUAUGAAGUCCAGGAUUAAGGUGCUGGCCAAUUCAGUUUCUGGUGAAGACUCUUCUGGAGUUGCAGACUUCUGAGUUUAUCUUCAAAUGGCCUUUCCCCAGUGGGCGUAUGUGGGGAGAGGGGAGAGCCAUCCUGCCUGAAACUCAGGAAACACAAGGUCCCUGGUUGUGUAACAUGAGUACACUUGAAAGUUCCUCGUCCUUAUCUGGCAACCCAGAUGGAUAAAUACUGGCCCUGAAGAUGCUUUUCUUAAAACUGAUGGAUGGCACACUUGGGAACAAGUGGAGUGAAAGUCAGGGCUGUGCAUGCACGUGGGAAGGAGGGGCAGGAGGAGGAGCACAAGUGGCUGCAGAACAGAGCUUGGGAAGAACCAGUUAUUCUUCUGCCAGUUCAAAACUGGGGGCCCCUUCCCUCUAGCAUUCAUCCUCUGCUUGCCGGGGCAUAUCAAUUUCACCCAAAUCACGUGGACUAAGGUGGUGAUGGUGGGCUGUGGUAGGUAUGAUUUCCCCAAAGAAAAUUCAGAUGAAGUCACCAGAGGGAAGAAGGAAGAAUGGAUGUUUAUGCAAAAGACGCAGAUGUCCACAACAAUUCCCACAUGGGAAGAGAAUAAUCCAGGUUUAAGAGCCCUGGCUUGGGACCCCAGUGUCUGGGGAUGGAGUCCCAGCUCUACCAUUUACAAAUUGUGUGACCAUGGCUGGAUCAUGUCACCAGUCAGUAUGGGUCUGUGUCCCCAUUAACAAAUGGGAGUGAUGGUCCAGCAUUGUGGGCCUGAAUCAGAGUGACAGCACAUUGCAAAGGCACCAUGUAAGCUCCAGCAGGUGUGUCACAGCUACUUGUGGUGUCAUGAAGUCUGAAGUCUCUGAUCCAGUGAAUCAACUUCUGAAUAUUUAAUCAAAGGAAAUUAAAACACUAACUCAGGAGUUCCCAUCAUGGUGCAGUGGUUAACGGAUCCGACUAGGAACCAUAAGGUUGCGAGUUCGAUCCCUGGCCUUGCUCAGUGGGUCGAGGAUCCAGCAUUGCCGUGAGCUGUGGUGUAAGUUGCAGACACGGCUGGGAUCCUGCGUUGCUGUGGCUCUGGCGUAGGCCGGUGGCUAUAGCUCCAAUUAGACCCCUAGCCUGGGAAUCUCCAUAUGCCGCUGGAGCGGCCCUAGAAAAAGGCAAAAAGACAAAACAAACAAACAAACAAACAAAAAAACACUAACUCAAAAAGGUAUCUGUACCCCCAUGUUCAUUGAAGCAUUAUUUACAAUAGCCAGGAUAUGCAAACAACCUAAGUGUCUAUUGAUGGAUGAAUCAAUAAAGAAAUGUGGUGUGUAUAUGUAAUGGAAUAUACUUCAGCCAUAGGAAAGAAUAAAAUUCUGCCAUUUUGCAACAACAUGGAUGAACCUUGAGGGCAUUAUGCUAAAUGAAAUGUCAGACAGAGAAAGACAAAUACCAUAUGAUCUUACUCAUAUAUGAAAUUAAAAAGAAAAACUAAGGUCAUAAAUACAAAAAGUAGAUUGGUGGUUGCCAAAGAUGGGGGGAUAGGAGAAUGGGCGAAAUGACUGAAGGGGGUCAAAAGGUAUAGACUUUCAGUUAUAAGAUAAAUAAGUCCUGGGAUAUAAUGUACAGCAUGGUGACUGUAGUUAACACUGUAUUGCACAUUUUAAUGUUUCUAAGAGAGUGGAUCUUAAAAAUUCAUCACAAGAGAAAAAAUUUAUAACUAUGUAUGGUAACAGAUAUUAACUACACUUAUUAUGGAGACCAUUUUUCAGUGUAUACAAAUAUUGAAUCAUGUUGUAUGCCUGAAAUUAUUAUAAUGUUAUAUGUCAAUUAUACCUAAAUAAAAAACAAAAUGAAU